rnacentral:ncRNA from 1 species
CAGAAAGCUUUGAACGGGAAAAUAGUCUGGAAACAGGGCCACAGAGAACCGGGGUUGGUGGAAGCCGGUGUCGCUGUCAGUCUAUUCUCGCCCGGGAGCUGCCCCCGUGAAAGUGUCUUCACCGGUAAUUGGGGCCGGGUUUUACUGGAACCCGUUAUCAAAAAUUGCACCGUACAGCAGGCUGUAUUUGUGCAUGAGUGGCUCCCCUUUGGGAGCAAGCAGGGUGGUACCGCGGAAGGAUAACCUCUCGUCCCUGGC